UGGGGAAUAUUGGACAAUGGGCGAAAGCCUGAUCCAGCCAUGCCGCGUGUGUGAAGAAGGUCUUCGGAUUGUAAAGCACUUUAAGUUGGGAGGAAGGGUUGUAGAUUAAUACUCUGCAAUUUUGACGUUACCGACAGAAUAAGCACCGGCUAACUCUGUGCCAGCAGCCGCGGUAAUACAGAGGGUGCAAGCGUUAAUCGGAAUUACUGGGCGUAAAGCGCGCGUAGGUGGUUUGUUAAGUUGGAUGUGAAAUCCCCGGGCUCAACCUGGGAACUGCAUUCAAAACUGACUGACUAGAGUAUGGUAGAGGGUGGUGGAAUUUCCUGUGUAGCGGUGAAAUGCGUAGAUAUAGGAAGGAACACCAGUGGCGAAGGCGACCACCUGGACUGAUACUGACACUGAGGUGCGAAAGCGUGGGGAGCAAACAGGAUUAGAUACCCCAGUAGUCCCUGAGCGGGCUGGCAAGGCGCAU
rnacentral:rRNA from 1 species